rnacentral:misc_RNA from 1 species
AUGUUGGCCUGGCUGGAAGCGUGUGGCGAGGAACUUCAGUCGAGUGUGGUUGCGCGAAGUCAGAACGUCAUAAGUCAGCAGUCAGCAGUCAAUCAGUCUUUUAGUAUGCAGGUGCCGCUUAGCGAUGUCCAGGUCCUGCACGAUCCUGCCGAUGCCGAGACCAUAGUCGGUAAUGCUGGCGGUGACCAGGAGGAGACCUUCGCCCACAUGAAAGAGUGGAAGCGUCAGUACAUGAGGGGCAUCUCGCACACGCCCUCCCAGGCUGGAGUCUAUUACGAGGCCCUCAAAGGAUCCAGCCACUCGUUGGCCAAGGGAUCUCGGAAUUUUCGCCCUGGAAGCAUGCGGCGAGUGCGCAGAAGAGCCGUGUUCAAGAACGGUGACUGCAAUGUGGUGCAGAAGCACCUUCAGAGAAGGCGGGUCCGUUUUCUGCAGGACAUGUACACAACGAUGGUGGACUGGCAGUGGCGGUGGACGCUGCUAGCCUUUGCGCUGAGCUUCAUACUCUCGUGGUUGUUCUUUGCGCUCAUCUGGUGGCUGAUCAUCUACACACACGGGGAUCUGGAGGAGCUGCACAUGCCGGACAAUCAAGAGGAGUCUGGAUGGGCGCCUUGUGUGUCGGCCAUUGAUGGCUUCACCUCCUGCUUUUUGUUCUCCAUUGAGACGCAGCACACAAUUGGCUACGGCGUGCGGACCACUUCUCCCGAGUGUCCCGAGGCCAUAUUCAUGAUGUGCUUCCAGUCCAUCUAUGGCGUGAUGUCCUCGGCCUUCAUGGCGGGCAUCGUCUUUGCCAAGAUGACCCGGGCCAAGCAACGCGCCCAGACGCUGUUAUUCUCCAAGCAGGCCGUCAUCUGCCAGCGCGACGGCUGCCUGUCGCUGAUGUUCCGGGUGGGUGACAUGCGGAAGUCCCACAUCAUCGGCGCCGGCGUCAGAGCCCAGCUGAUUCGCACGAAGAGCACCAAGGAGGGCGAGGUGAUGACGCAGUACUUUACGGAGCUGGAAAUCGGCAGCGACGACUCGGGCUCUGAUUUGUUCUUCAUCUGGCCCAUGAUCAUCGAGCACAAGAUCGACGAGAAUUCGCCGCUGUAUAAUCUGAAUGCUACUGACAUGCUGCAGGAUAGGUUCGAGAUUGUGGUCAUACUCGAGGGGACGGUGGAGUCGACGGGCCAGUCCACCCAGGCCAGAUCGAGUUAUAUCAACACCGAGAUCCUGUGGGGCCACCGUUUCGAUCCUGUAGUGCUGUACAACAAGGAUCUGCAGGCCUAUGAGAUCGACUAUGGUCGCUUCAACGAGACCACUCAGGUGGACACGCCCCUGUGCAGUGCUCGUGAGCUGAACGAGAUCUACAAGAUCCAGGAGGGCUUCCGCACCCCAGAAACCACCUUCACCAUGCGUCAGCUGUCCCACAACCAUUCCGAUCAGGCUUCCUAGAGCUCACGUCCAGUGUCUUGUAUUUCCAUGUUAUGUUGCUAUAGUUUGUAAUCUCUGUCUCUGUUCUAUCUUCCCCCACGAUCCGUUCGAGGCCCUCUAGUUCCAGUUCCGGCUACCAGUCGCCCCAGGACCGUCGUCUGCGCUGGCAGCUCUCGGUGCCCU